rnacentral:rRNA from 1 species
UACGGGGGGAGCAAGCGUUGUUCGGAUUUACUGGGCGUAAAGGGCGCGUAGGCGGCCAGCACAAGUCAGUUGUGAAAUCUCCGAGCUUAACUCGGAACGGUCAACUGAUACUGUGCGGCUAGAGUGCGGAAGGGGCAACUGGAAUUCUUGGUGUAGCGGUGAAAUGCGUAGAUAUCGGGAGGAACACCAGUGGCGAAGGCGAGUCUCUGGGCUGAUACCGACGCUGAGGCGCGAAAGCCAGGGGAGCAAACGGG